UACUGAACAAAAAAAAAGUGGCACCUCGUUAUGUUUAUGUAAAAGAAACUACAGAUCUUCUGUUCACAGGAUAUGUCAAAACAACAACAAUUUCAAUACAUUUUACAACGACAGAGCAACUGAAUAUCGCGAACAUGUGAAAGAAGGGAGAGAUGCUAACGCCUGCUCAUUUUUACAUUUCGUCUCUAUGUAUCCUAAUUGGGAAGUACCUAAUAUAAGCCAGAAUCACUGGCAUAUUUGUAUAGUAGAUCAUUUAUCAAUCCAAUCUUUGAAAAGAAGCAUCAUAUAUAGAGGGAUGUUAAAAGCUGCAAUGAUAGUAAUUAUACUCAAUGUCCUCACCAAUCUCCUAAUUACCAUCUCUGUCUUUGAUUUGUUUGUCUGAGGCAGUGCUUUUACCGCGGUAUCUGAUCCUAUAUGUAAAGUCACAUCACUGGGAUUUGAGGUAUCCGUCUCUUGUUUUCUGGCAACUGAUCGCAUGACAGCAUUACCCCUGCAUUCGAGAAAAAUGCAUCGAUGUAAGUUGAGCAUCCAAUAGUCAAGGAGGCACCCAAUAGAUUACAGAAGAAUGACAAACAUUGAACUGAAGUGAUGAUAGCAUGAUUAGCUUGCUUAUCUUGAACAAAUCAACAUGGAAUCAAAUUUAUGAAGAAAAAGAAAAAUAUUGAAGGACAACUACCUAAGUAGCUCGGACUCGAGUGUGAGUGUUUGAUAAGGGUGCAUAUCUCGAAUCCUUCAUGAUCUAAAUUUUAAGAUUCAGGGGUACAAAUCCAGUAUAGAUGCUAGUGCGAGGAUUCAACUAAAAAUAAUUCAGUUAGCUAAUAACAGAGUUACAAAAAUAUGCCUAAAUUAUGAUGGACUAUUUGGAGGAAAAGGAAUGCACAAUUAUUUUAGAGCAAGUUGGAUCUGUGAUUAUUAUUAAGUAUAGAUGCAUCUUCUUACUGUUUUUUAGGGUGUAACACGGUUGUUGGAAAUAAUGAUAUAUAGGUCAUGAUAGACUACUUGAGUUCAUUGCACAUUCAACAGUGAUGUUGUAUGGUAUAAAUCUUUCAAGCACCUUCUGGUUGCGGACUACAUACAAAUAUCUUUAACUGAUAUAAAAAAAAAAAAAAAAGCAUAUGCCUAAAUUAUGAUUUCUUCAUAGCUUUAGUUUCAAAAAUCAUUGUAUGUGUCUCGAAUUUCUCUAUUGAUUUUGGUCAAAAGUAUCCAAAAACGAUUGGCCAAAUGUGGUACGGAUCCCAUACACAUGUCGUGUCGACACAGGUGUGGCACUGGAAGUGAAGAAUCCGAGCAACUUAGACUACUCCAAGCCAAGUUGUAGUGUGAGAUACUUCCUCACUGACAGUAGACUUAGACAUACAGAUUUUUAGAGGUACAUGGGGACUUGCUGUAAUGCACGAUCAGAUCCUGCAAUUCUUAAAGUGCAUUGCUAUCUAACAAGGUUAUGGUGCUUGUAAUCUAGGAGGCAACUUCGAGAAACACACAAGCAUGCUCAAGUAAAAAUAAAUAGUUACUCGCUGCAGUUCAUGCAAUGACUGGUUCUCUUUGAUGGGACUUACCGUUCUACUGAAGCGCUGUCGCUUGAGCAUGUAGAAGACACUUUAAAGGUUUUCUUUAUGAGGUGCAUCGAUCCUUCUGCAUCCCAUAUCUCCUCAUAUUCAUAUAUCUCAUCUUCACUUUUCAGUUUUUCCCCACCUCCCGAAAAGCUUGAACUAAUUAGACCUCUUACAUUCCUCAGAAAUCCAUCGAGAUAGUGCGGAAAGAGCACCCCAUUCGUGGGCCAAAGGACGGCAAUAAGAAGGGUCAUGACAAACAGCAAAAUAUACCUGAAACAUCCACAAACAAACUUUAAGAUUACAAGAAACACGGUUUAUUAAGACAAAUGUUUUGUUUUCAUCUCAAUAUACUGAAUUACCAUAUGUAAAUGUAUAACUGCACAGGGAGAAAGCACACUUUUGUGGAAAUUGCCUCCUCUGGCAUUGAUCCGUUCGGUAAGAUAAGAUUACUUGCAGAUAAUAGCAUGUAAGAUGGAAACAAAUUUCCCUGCUGCCAGCUUAUAGUCCCUAGAGUAUGCUGCACAACACUAUCAAUCAAACACCAUCCAAUCAAUACAAACUUUUUCAGUUAAACAAGGUAUGAUACCUCUUUUACGGAGCCAUAUUUGGAUUUGUGGAUUACUGUACACUGAUCAUGGUCAUGCCAGGAGAGAACUAGUGCCUGCAGAAACUCAAAAUAAUGCAACCCAAAAAUCAUUCAUUUCAAUUAGUAUUGGGUAGAAAUUUCUUCCCUUUAUAUUGCUACUUUGUUUUGGAUAAGCCUACAUUACAUGCAAUAGUAUCUAGAAUUACUACUGGAAAAAUAUAUAAAAGAUCAUUGGGCCAUGCGGGCAUCAUAAAAUGGAAGGAAAUACUUACAGGUUUGAUCGAGUCAAGCAGAACAUUUGUUCCUUUUUCAGUAAUAUAGUUAUGAUAUCUGUGAAUGGAAUUGUGACCAAGUCUGACAUAAACAUCCAUGCGUACAGACACGGUAAAUCCGUAAUAAGCCACUAAAAGUGAGAGUAAGAGCUUACAAUAUUUCAUUAUCCUGAGCAGCACGGUUGAUUCUCUGAAAUAAAUGACGAAAUAUGUAACUUUUCAUUAUAAACUCUUUCUCUCAGGAUUCUACAUGAUACCAAAGAUAUGUUUAUCAAAACAGAAUAUAUGAGGGACCUAUUAAUUAACCAUAUUACAAGAAAAGUCACAUUUUUCUCUUCACAAUAGCAACAAGCAAAAUGAAGAAGAAUUUUUAAAGAUCAUAAUUCCUAUUGUUUAGGUUACCGAACUCAAGUGCUCUUUUACUGGAGAGGAAUAGUACAUGAAUGGUGACUUUCAGGGGAGGGAAUCUUUCCUCUAUAAAAUAGAAAAAGCUGAAACAACUUUGACAAGUUUAAGAAAAAGUUAAAUUUUACCUGAUUAAUAAUUGAUGAUGAGCGAUAUGAACCGCACACAGUUUGAUCUGGUCGAUACAAUGGAAUAUGAGUCAAUAGAACCCUUGGAUUUGAAGACAGAUCUGCAUAAGACAGAGUAAAAUGAUCUGAGCAUCUUACACAUUAGUCAAAUCACAACAUACAUGGAUAGUGAUUGGCUGAACAUACGCUUAGAGACAUUUUUGACAAAUUCCCAUGUGGCAGGGGUUACAUUGUCUUGGGGAUACCCUGUAGACAAGAGAUUUUGCUGUGAGUCUUUACGAAAUAACAACACCACGAAUUGACCCAUAAUCAAUAGUUUCUUUUUCAUGUUAAUUGAUAGGAAGAAAAUCAAAAUCAUUGAAGUGGUGUUUACAAAACAACAACAUGAAUUGAAGCAGCUCAUUAGCAAUGAAUUACUACUUAUAUAAUCUGUUCUGAUCGUCGAAGUGUAGUCACAUGGUCAUGUGUCAUACAGAAAAUUACAUUAUAGUUAGAACCCUCUAUCUCGAAGAGUAGUCACAUGUUCUAAAACAGCAACUAAUAAAUAAAUUAGCAUUUUUAGACACUUCAUGUACAUAAAAAGGUAUAAAGGAAUUGGGAGAUUGAAAUAAGAGAAAGAAAAACACCAGGAAAAUAUAUUCUUGAAUACUUAUUCAAAUAAUGGAUUUUAACUCUUCGACACUGAAACAAGAAAAGCUAAUUUUAUCUCUAAGCAAUAACAGUUGAAGUCUCCAAACUUUUAUAUAUCAAUAGAAAGAACAAAAAGAGCUCCAAAUAAAGAGUAGAUUGUGAUAUUACCAUCUAAGGUUUGCGCAUCGAUGGUGAUGAAAUCUACUUUCCCAGCUGUAAACUGAUAGCUCCUUGCACCAAAUGCUUUCUCAUACUGUUUGAUAACCUGCAUUAUUGUAUGCACAGAUAAGAUCGGAAAUAGAAUAGGAGUAAACCAGAAUGUUCUGCUUCACAGACCAGGCUGGAGCAAUGAAUGCACUAAAUCUGUAUGUUAAAGUUUCCGGUAUAGAGAUUCCAUCAGGCUAGUAACAUGACAAAAUAGCUAGCCAAAUGGGAGAACUUAAGAAAUAGGUUUGCAGAAUCAUAAAUUUUUGUUUUAUAGAGACAUUUGGUGCUCCUUGAAACAAAGCACUGAUGCCAGAUAAAUUGAAGCUUGUAUGGGUUUGUUUAAGCAACUACAAACACUAGUUGACCUAAUCUGAAAACUCUUCAUGCUAUGAAUAAUAAAUUAGUUAACUUACUUAAUAGGCAUUUGGCCCCUGGAUAUGGAACCCCAAUUUCAAGUUUUGAUUUGAAAUUGUCUAAGAAAUUUGCACAAAAUUUCAACUUCAAUUUCAAAUCUCAAAUUCUCCAAAAAGUAGAUUUCAAUUUUUUUUUAAAUGUAAAACUUGACUCAUGCUCGACGUAAACUUUGGGAAGUUUUGAUAGUUACACAAAUUGCGGGGUUUUCAUGUUUACGAGGAAAAAUACAACUUAAGAAAUCUAAAUUGCAUGUCCAAACAAAAUUUCAACUUUAAAUCAAUAUUGAUUUUAAUUCACAAAAAUCAUGUCCAAACGAGGCCUUAGUACUCAGAUGAUCAUGACUCCAAAAUUAAGCUCUAUUAGAUGUUGUUGUGUCUGUAUCCUCUCAAUGUGAAACCUGGUACUCAUCGGAACUCUUGGUUGUAGAAAAUUUAGGUGCAUCAAAUUUCCUUAACAAUUAUGACCAACAAGGUAACUUGCUACAGUUAAUCAUGGACACUAUUCCAGCAGUUUUCCAGUAUCUGGGACACUAGAAAGAGUGAAAGACAAAGCUCAUGACUAAAUUUUCAACCAAAAGUUUCCUAAUGUGAUAACUGAGCUCGAGCAGGCCGCAACGCACCAAAAAAUAUUUCUUCAGUACUUAUUGUGCAAUGUUGGGGGCUCGAAGACCAUCAGAUACCGUCCUAGUCUCAACCAUAAGUGAUGCCGGUCAGGGAUCUGUUGCUUUUAGGACUCCGCCGGAACCUUAUGAGAAAUCAAUUUUUUGGGUUCCGGAGGAGUAUGGUCGCAAGGCUGAAACUUAAAAGAAUUGAUGGAAGUGCACCACCAGGAAUUGCGGCUUAAUUUGACUCAAGACGGGAAAACUUACCAAGUCCAGAAAUAGUAAGUAUUUCUUGAUUCUAUGGGUGGUGGUGCAUGGUUGUUCUUAGUUGGUGGAGCGAUUUGUCUGGUUAAUUCCGUUAGCAAAACAAGACCUCAGCCUGCUAACUAGCUAUGCGGAGGUAUCCCUUCGCGACCGCUUCUUUGAGGGAUUAUGGCCUUUUAGGCCGCGGAAAUUUGAAACCAUCCACUAAAUAAUAGGUUUGUUUGAUGCAAUGUUUUAGAAGGAGAUUUAAUCUCCAUCUUUUAAUAGGCUUAUGAGUAAUUUGAUACAUGAAAAGAAGAUGAGAUAUGAACAAGUCAAAAAGCAUAUUAAAAAUUCAAAUUUGGCAUCAGUUAGAAAACAUGUUCCAACUCUAUAUUAAUAAUUAACACACCUCUGGCAUGCGCGAGUGAAAAGCUGCAUACCCUAUAUCAUGGUUUCCAGCAAGGUAGUACAGCUUUAUGUUUGUAGUUUGCUCAAGCAUGUCAAUGUCAAAUAUAUGCUUAAACCGACUCCGGGAUUCCUGCCAUCUAUCAAAUUAAAUAAAUCGAAGUCCAAAGCAGAAGAAUAACUAGAGAACAUUCAGAUAUUUCAUUUAUGAAAAUGACUCAAUUAUGAACUUUAUAUAAGGAAGCAACUGAUAGGAAUGUGUCUUGAAUUAGUCCAAAAAGUAGAGUUUUCGACUGAGAUACAGAGAAUUACAAUCAGAGCUAGGUUUCAAUUUUCAUCCACAAAGUAGUUUAAUUUUUUAUUAGGAGAGUAAAAUUUUAAGAUAGAUCAUUAAGCAUACACAAGUACUUACUCUUCAUCAGAAAGAAAAGACCCACCGUCGGAACAAUCACCUAGGAACAGAAUUAUAUCAGGUUUGGAUGGUAAAAUAGAUGAUAGGAAUGCCCUGCGCAUAUACAAAUAUGUAUAGAACUGAGCAGCUUCAAGUGCAAAGGAUUUCGGGGCAAGAUGAAGAGAAGUUCUGUCCAUGAGCUGUCAAAAUACAAAAUAUGUUGUGAAUAUGAAAUCAAAAUGUCAAAGCACAGAAUAAUAUAAAGAUAAGCACAGUAAAUCCACCAUUAUUUUCAGAAGCAAUACCUGAGGAUCAGUCAGAACAGCAAUUUUCACGUAAUCACGUUGAUGAUCUACUCCAUCUGACUGAAACCAAGGAAAACAAAGGUUAAUACACCUGAGUUUUUACGCCAGCUCAAAAAAGCUGAAUCUUUAUGGAGGGGACAAGUCAUUAAAAUGUAUACAUCUAAGUAUCGAGAUAAUUAAGAAGUAGACUUCAUGAAGAGGAAAUUUACCGAAAAAGCAUUGCCUUAUCUAGAGCUACCAAAUUAUUGCUCUAUAAUUAACCGAAGAAGUUCCCUCAAAUAAAGUAUCUAGCAUACGAAAGUCCACCACUUAUACAUAUAAUUAUAAGUUAACUUACCAAAAAGAGUUCUUUUAUUUUCUUUUUAAUUUCUAAACAAGCUAGCCUUUUGUUAAAUCUGAAUGAGCUUUUGACAGAAUAUUGUUAGGAUCAAGCGCUUAGCCGCUUACCAUCAUACCAAAAGUUAUAGUUGAUAGCAAGGGAUCAACUUUAUUUCUUAACCAAGCCCACCAAUCAAGCGCCACAUUCGAUCAUGACUCCGACCCAGGCCACCCCAGCCCCCUUGUAGACCUUCCCAUAGGUAUGAUGUUGGCAUUACCCAACACUUAUGAUUCUCAAUGAGUAAACAAGAACUAACACACAAAAUCACAGCUCCAACUAGCAUAAAAAGUGGUUGGAAGUACAAAAUGAAAGGCCACUAUCAUUUUACAAACUAAAGAUGAUAACAAUUGCAUACACUAUAUACUAAUUCACAGAUUCAGUUGGAAGGAUAAAUUUCAUCUUCCAUUGGUCAACGGUGAGCUGAAUAUUCCCUGAUCUGGAGUUGAGCUGCUUAAGAUGAGGAAUCCCAAAUCCCAAAAUAGACUUACAAAAAUGGGAAAUGGAAAUCAUUUUUAACCAAAAGAAGUAGAAAAAGAUCAUUUCUUUAACAUCACACAACCCCUCAAAAUCCAAGCUCACUUGCAGCUGAACACUGUCAAUUACAUCACAAAACAGAACAAUAAAUAGAGAAAAAAAAUGAUUCUUGAAUCUAGCUCAAGUCAAAGAUAAAGUUAAAAGUAAAUUACCACUUCAUCAAAGUUUGGAACUUUACCAUGGAAGAAGAAGGAGGAGGAUGAGGCCAAGAACAUGAGAGAAAAGGGACCCAAAAUGAGAACAUCUCUCCAUAGAGAAGAGUCAAUGCCCAAAUAAGGCUUAAGAAAACAGCUAACUUCAACAUCUCUGUUAACUCAGCAAUUACUGCUCCCUCUCUACUUCCAUUUUUUUCUUCUAGAUCCCAAAACAAAGCUCACAAAGCUGAAUAAGUUAGUUUAAUUAGCUGAGUUUUUUAGACUUUUAGUUAUAGGUAGCUUGGCACCUCUUUAACAUCAAUGGUGAUUUUCUUCUAUUUUUCUUAAUUAUUUUUUAUUUUUUAUUUUUUAUUUCAUGGUUUUUCGUUUGUACAAUGAUUAGUAAGCAGUUUUUUUAUCAACAUACUUCUGAGGGAUAAUUAUGAAAUUCAGAAAUUAUGUAAAGCAGGUAUACUUAACUAAUUUUAUAUAAUAGUAGUAAUAACUUUUAGUAAGUUUUAAUCUUGAAAUGAAUAUAGCUUUUUAGAAAACUAAAAGAUGGCUUUAAAAUAUCACAUUUAAUUGCCUUAAAAAUAUUACAGUAUUUGAUUACAAUGUAGGGAGAUAUUAGUAUAAGGGUCGUUUGGUCAUGCGAUAUGAAAUCAUGAUAUGAAUCAUGAAAUAAAAUUAUGAGAUGAAAUGGUUUGGUCAUGCGAUAUGAAAUCAUGAAAUGAUGUUGAAGUUUUGUUUGAACAUGCGAUUUGAACCUUUUAUGUGGUAUGUUUUCUCGUAAACAUAAAAAUCUCAUAAGUUGUAAACUAUUAAAUUGUCCCAAUUCUUUAUACAAUCUUACCAAAUAAAUAAAAGUUUAUAAAAUCCCAUAAUACAUUAUCACAAAGAUAUUCUUAAAAAAUACAAGAUUUAUUGAUCAAACUUUAAUUCAAUAAAAAAAAUUAAACAUGUAUAAAUUGUGGUGUACUAGUUUUUAAUAUAGUCUCCCACAUAGUACGGACAACUUUUUCAAGUUGAACUUACAUUUCUUGUUCAUAUGACCAAGAAGACGAAUCAACAUUUUUACUUUGAGCCAUUUGUUGGUCAAUUUGGUUGGUAAAUAAAUUUGAUAAAAAUAAUAAAUUUGGUGAAUAUAAAUGGUAAAGUAGCAAUUGAUAAAUUCUAUGUUUUGAGAAUAAUCGAUAUAUGAGAUGUAAAUGAUUUAAAAAGUAAUGAAAUGAAUUAUAAAUUUAUUUGCAUAUGAAAUAAAUGGUUGGUAGUAGGGGUGUACAAAACCGAACCGAAAACCGAACCAAACCGCAAAAUCGAGUCAACCCGGAAAAAAAACCCGACUAGUGGUUUGGUUUUAGAAAAAAAAAAACCGCUAUAUUUGGGUUUGUUUGGUUUUAAACUAAAAAAAAAACACUCAAAGACCAAACCAACCCGAAUUUAUAUAUAUAAUUUUAAAAUUUAUUUAUACAUAAAAAUAUUUACUUUGAUAUAGUUUUAAAAAGUUUCUUAUACUUUUCCAUAGUUUUUAUCUUUUAAUAUAUUAUUUCAAGUUUGAAACUUAGAACUUGGCCAAUAAAGCUUAAAUCAAAAUCAAACUAAUACUAAUGCAAAAAGAAAAUCAAUUCAACACUAAGAAUGACAAUAAUAUUGAAUAUUUGCUCUUUAGUUUUACAUUGGUUUAGACAAUUAAAAUACAUAAUCUAAUUUUAAUUUUCUUUAAUAUUUAGUCAUGUAACUAAUACUUAUUAAACUUAAUUUUAGCAUGAUUUAGUACUUUUAAAUUAUGAUCAUUUUUAUUAUGACUUGUUAAUUUGCAAUAUUUGUUUUACGCAAUUUCAUUAUUAUUAUUUUUGUUGGAUAUUUUAGUGUCAUUAAUCAUAUCAUAUUGUGUUAUAUUUUUAAGAAACAUCUUAGAUAGUUGUAUUUUUGGUAGGACUAAAGAAAUAUUUGAAGUACAAUUAAAUUAUAUGUUUGUAUGAAUACUUUACCGGAAAAACCUGAAACAACCCGAAAAACCCGAGGUUGAAAACCCCGAGUUUUAUUGGUUUGGUUUGGUUUAUAAAUUUAAAAAUUCGACACAUAUGGUUUGGUUUGAUAUUUGAAAAAACUGAACCAACCUAGCCAUGUACACCCCUAGUUGGUAGAUAUAAAUGUGGGGUUGUUUUUACAAAAUAUAAACUUGUGGGUCAAUUUUUAUAUUUGAAAAAUCUCAAAUCAUGAUUUGAAAUUCCCAAAUCAUAAUUUUUGGAGAAUAUGAGAUCAUGAGAUGAAAUCAGCGUGAAAUCACAUGUCUAAACGCUAAUUUCAUCUCAUAAUUUCAUAUCAUGAUAUGAUAUCGCAUGGUCAAACUCUUACUUAUCGUUUCUUUUUGAAGUUUGGGGUUUUAUAAAAGAAUCUUCUCAAGCUACUCUAUCUACUCUAUUGUUCCUUUUUACUAGUCUCUUGUAUUGAAAAAAAUAAAAUUUUCAUUUUAUUUUUCUAUUUAAAUCAAUCAAGAGAGAUUUAUUGAUUUUUUUAGAUUUUAAUUAUUAAAUAAUUACAUAAAAUAUUAUUUCUUUCAUUUGUUUUUACUUGUCCACUAUACUGAAAAUAGAUAUCCACAAUUACUUGUCUAGUUUGGAAAAUAAAAAAUAAUUUAUCACUUAGUUUUCAAUUUACAUUAUUAUUAACUAUAAUCAUUUUUCCAUGCAUUUUUCAAAAUAUUGAAUUUAUUGUAUCCAAAAUGUGAUAAUGUUAAAUUGUCAUUCUAUUUAUUAUUCCUUAAGAAAUGUGUUAAGUCAACACCGAACAAUUAAAAAUUCUAAAAAAGUUAUAGUUAGACUUUCAAAGUAUAGUUAAUACUUUGUAUACAAAAUUACACCGAAUAUAUUAUUAUUGUCAUUAAUAAUACUUUUGUGUGGAAAAUUUGGUUAAACACCUCAUAACUAAUGAUUUUCUUAAGAAAAGUUUCAAGUUAUCAAUUAAGGACAAUUAAAAAGGAACGUCAAGAGAAUUUGAUUACUGUGAAAAUUGGGUUAGACUUUGUUCGAAGACAUUAAUGUAAGAAGGUAUUAUUUUUUUCUUAAAUGGUCUUAACAAAUAUCUAAUGAAUAAUUUUCAAAUAUACUUCUUUGCAAUUUCCUAUUUAUACUUUUCUCAGUGGAUAUACCAAAACCUUAAAAAAUUUACUUAUUGUUGACCAGAUGGAAGUAAGUAUAUACAAACUGUUGUCUGUCUUUAAUAUACAUCAAUAAACACCAUCCUUAUGUCCCUUUGUUUCACCAAAAUGUCGAAAAAUGACUCCAAAAAUUAUUUUCAAAAGAUGUAAAAUGAUAUUGUACCAAAAGAACCAAGUAAACGUUUUAGCAAAAUACAAUGUCACGUACAAUAACAAACAAUUAAAUGUUAUAACCAGUGUCUCGUCUUUCCCCAGAAGCACAAAUCCACGCAGGAAAAACAGUACUAUGCACAAAACUGAAUAAUCCAGUUCAUCAACACUGUGUAAGAAUUUCUUCUUUUUAAGGAUACAUUAUAACAAUUACACUCGAUCCCAAUUUGAGGAUCGAUCACCACUAUGGAAAUAUAGGAAUAAGCUACAACAAUUUAACAACUAUAACUACGCCUCAGCCCCAAAAGCAAGUUGGGGUCAAUAGGUACAUUUUGAAUGGUAUACGUUGAGCAGCAAGUAUGUGAAGAACCAAACAUGAACUUUUUUGGGCUACGAUUCGUGUUACCAAUGUAUCUGAAUGCUGUCUGGGAGUUUAUCAGAAGCUUCUUUAUGUGUAACAUAUAUGGACCUGAGUACAAAGAGAGCUGGGAAUCAAUAGUUUUUCGGAUGGUGGGGAUGUUUCUUCCAGGGAUUUCUGCUCAUAGCCCGGUUAAUUAUGUCAACUCUGUAAGACUUGGAAGGAAGAAGUGUUCAGAUGUCAUCGUUUUGGAAAGUCUAGAUUGAAAUGCCUUGAUCAAGUGAUUUAUGUCUCAAAAAAUAAACUCGUUAGAGCUUUUUCGUGUCUUGAAUAAAGUUUACAGAUAAUAUUUUGGUGUUGUGAUUGUAAGAAGUGUUGGAACUAUUAUGAGUUGUUGAUGUGAAUGUAUCAAUGAGAGUACAUGUAGAAGUUUUUGUUGUUGUUGUUGUUGAAUGUAUGUAGAUUGGUUUGUCUUAUGAACCUAUUGAAUAAAUGUUGUUUCAGUGAUUGCUUGUUAUUAGAUUUGUUUGAUAAAGGCAAGUGUUUUACAUUCAUUGAUUUGACGUGAACAUCUGGUUCUGCCAGUCAUCCCCCAACCAAUGCCACUAAUUGACAUGAACCCAAAAUGUACGUAAAAUGUUAUCAAGGUAGUAACCGUAAAUAUAUCAUGUUGAAAAUUGAAAUUAAAAAGUUACUUUAAAAAAAGGCAUUCUUAUUGAAACAGAAUGAAUACACCUUAUUAGUAAACGUAAAAAACACUGAAACUAAUUCUAUAUAAUUUGGUGAUUCAUCAUUAGUUAAAUUUGAUGAGCAACUACUGACAACUUUAGACUAACAAAAAUAACACACAAAAAUAUAUACAAAUACUAUGUGCACAAGAAUAAAGAUAGUUAAUAUAAAUACAUAAAAGCAUCCAAUUCUUACUGAACAAAAAAAAAGUGGCACCUCGUUAUGUCUAUGUAAAAGAAACUACAGAUCUUCUGUUCACAGGAUAUGUCAAAACAACAAUUUCAAUACAUUUUACAACGACAGAGCAACUGAAUAUCGCGAACAUGUGAAAGAAGGGAGAGAUGCUAACGCCUGCUCAUUUUUACGUCUCGUCUCUAUGUAUCCUAAUUGUGAAGUACCUAAUCGAAGCCAGCAUCACUGGCAUAUUUGUAUAGUAGAUCAUUUAUCAAU
rnacentral:lncRNA from 1 species